GACGAACGCUGGCGGCGUGCCUAAUACAUGCAAGUUGAGCGCUGAAGGUUGGUACUUGUACCGACUGGAUGAGCAGCGAACGGGUGAGUAACGCGUGGGGAAUCUGCCUUUGAGCGGGGGACAACAUUUGGAAACGAAUGCUAAUACCGCAUAAAAACUUUAAACACAAGUUUUAAGUUUGAAAGAUGCAAUUGCAUCACUCAAAGAUGAUCCCGCGUUGUAUUAGCUAGUUGGUGAGGUAAAGGCUCACCAAGGCGAUGAUACAUAGCCGACCUGAGAGGGUGAUCGGCCACAUUGGGACUGAGACACGGCCCAAACUCCUACGGGAGGCAGCAGUAGGGAAUCUUCGGCAAUGGACGAAAGUCUGACCGGGCAACGCCGCGUGGGUGAAGAAGGUUUUCGGAUCGUAAAACUCUGUUGGUAGAGAAGAACGUUGGUGAGAGUGGAAAGCUCAUCAAGUGACGGUAACUACCCAGAAAGGGACGGCUAACUACGUG
rnacentral:rRNA from 1 species